rnacentral:rRNA from 1 species
GAUGAACGCUGGCGGCGUGCCUAAUACAUGCAAGUCGAGCGAACAGACGAGGAGCUUGCUCCUCUGACGUUAGCGGCGGACGGGUGAGUAACACGUGGAUAACCUACCUAUAAGACUGGGAUAACUUCGGGAAACCGGAGCUAAUACCGGAUAAUAUAUUGAACCGCAUGGUUCAAUAGUGAAAGACGGUUUUGCUGUCACUUAUAGAUGGAUCCGCGCCGCAUUAGCUAGUUGGUAAGGUAACGGCUUACCAAGGCAACGAUGCGUAGCCGACCUGAGAGGGUGAUCGGCCACACUGGAACUGAGACACAGUCCAGACUCCUACGGGAGGCAGCAGUAGGGAAUCUUCCGCAAUGGGCGAAAGCCUGACGGAGCAACGCCGCGUGAGUGAUGAAGGUCUUCGGAUCGUAAAACUCUGUUAUUAGGGAAGAACAAAUGUGUAAGUAACUAUGCACGUCUUGACGGUACCUAAUCAGAAAGCCACGGCUAACUACGUGCCAGCAGCAGCCGCCG